GUUCCGUUUCCGUUCCUCGGCGAGGCUGCGGGGGGAGAGGGGCGGCGGCAUGUUGCGGCGACCGGCGUGGCAGGUAGGCCCGUGCGGGGCGGCGUAACGGUACCGUGAGGGCCGGGCUGCGGCCGUGGCGGGAGCUCGGCCCUGGAUUUGUGUCCCCGGGGUGCCCGCAGCGCGGCCGGGUCGCUCGGGGCGGAGGAACGGUGGUCCGCUCAAUCGCUCCCGCCCCGGGGCGGGGGGCAACUCCAGCUCCUGCUCCAUCUCCUCCCGCCGCGGGGCCUGUAAUAACCCUCUCGCCAGGCGCGGGAAACGCGGGCCCGGAGGAGCGCUCCGCUGCGGGGCGGGGCCUCGGCUGUGCUGCGCGGACCGGCCAAGGUUCUGCCCGUGGGAAAAAGUGUGGAUUGUGCCGUGUUAGUGCCGGGCCGCAGGUGGUGGUUGUGUUAUUUCUCGAGAAAUAUGUGGCACUACCCAUGAAAACAGAGGGAGGUUCUGUUUGCGCUCCUACUCUGUAAACAAUGUGCAUGCUGGACCUUCAUUACUCAGCUACUGAAAAAACGACGUAUUAAAAAAUCUGGCUGUGCAUGGAAUGAGUCUGAAAAUAAUUUGCAUCUGCAUCAAUGAAACAUACAGACAUAGCAAAGACCUUUAGUUUUGCAGGUUGUGUUUAGCAAAGGACUGUCAGUCUCACCUUCCUUCAAGUUUUGCAACCACUUGUAACAGGAGAUGAGCUUUUUUUCCAGUUCCUGCACUUAAGCUUCUUCUGGAGAUGUUUGUGGGCUUUUAUUUUUCUCCUCCUUUCUACUAGGACAUGGUAUUUGCCAGCAUCAAGUCAGUUCCUUUUCUUUUUCUCACUUGUGUUUAGCUGCAGCACUUGGUUUUUUUGUGGCCUUGAUUUGCUGGUUGCUUGGGAACAAGGGGUUAUCAGUGCAUCAUUGUACUCUUUAUGGCGGUAGACAGAAGUAAAUUUGGGGCACAUCUUGUUUAAUCUCUGAAGUGAAGCAAAAAGUUGUUAAAACUAUCGACCAAAACUGUGUUUGUUUCCAAAAACCAAA
rnacentral:lncRNA from 1 species